rnacentral:tRNA from 1 species
GCGGAGGUAGCCAAGUGGAUCAAGGCAGU